AGUGAACGCUGGCGGCGUGCUUAACACAUGCAAGUCGAACGAGAACGGGUUAUAGCUUGCUAUAAUUGUCAGCUAAGUGGCGCACGGGUGAGUGAUGUAUAGGUAAUAUGCCUCUUACUAAGGGAUAACAAAUGGAAACGUUUGCUAAUACCUUAUACUCCUUAUUAACAUAAGUUAAUAAGGGAAAGAUUUAUUGGUAAGAGAUUAGCCUGUAUUGUAUCAGUUAGUUGGUGGGGUAAUGGCUUACCAAGACUAUGACACAUAACUGGUUUGAGAGGAUGAUCAGUCACACUGGAACUGAGACACGGUCCAGACUCCUACGGGAGGAAGCAGUGGGGAAUAUUGCACAAUGGACGAAAGUCUGAUGCAGCAACGCCGCGUGGAGGAUGACACAUUUCGGUGCGUAAACUCCUUUUAUAUGAGAAGAUAAUGACGGUAUUAUAUGAAUAAGCACCGGCUAACUCCGUGCCAGCCGCCGCCGUAA
rnacentral:rRNA from 1 species